AGAGAGAGACAUGCGUGCAUAUCAAUAAGCGGAGGAAAAGAAACUAACAUAGGAUUCCCUCAGUAACGGCGAGUGAAGCGGGAAGAGCUCAAAUUUGAAAAUCUUCAAGGGUUCUACCUUUACGAAUUGUAGUUUAAAGAAGUGUUUUCUGUUGAGGUUUUGGUAAAAGUUCUUUGGAAUAGGACAUCAUAGAGGGUGAGAAUCCCGUAUUUGACCAUUAUUUCCAGCUUUGUGAUACACUUUCAAAGAGUCGGAUUGUUUGGGAAUGCAGUCCAAAAUGGGUGGUAAAUUUCAUCUAAAGCUAAAUACUGGCGAGAGACCGAUAGCGAACAAGUACCGUGAGGGAAAGAUGAAAAGAACUUUGAAAAGAGAGUUAAACAGUACGUGAAAUUGUCAUAAGGGAAGCGUUUGACACCAGUGUUGUUUUCUCGAAAAUCAAUUAAAAAAGGUAGGAUUUUGUGUUGUAUUGACUUUAUCAGCUUUCUGCACUCUUUUCUUGUCUUUUUUAAUGCACUUUUCGUUUAACAAGUCAACAUCAAUUUCUUUUGUUGUAAAAGGGUCAUUGGAAGGUGGCUUUCUUUUCGGAGAGAGUGUUUAUAGCCUUUGGCCUCUGCAAUCGGAGAGAUUGAGGUCUGCAGCGUAGAUCCUUCGGGGUUAAAUAGCAUUUGUGCUAAGUUAUAGCCUUUCAUAGACAACUUGUUGACUAUGAUCAGUCAUGUAGCUUACUCGCUUAUGCUAUUUUACCUACGCUUAGGAUGUUGAUGUGAUACUGCGAGCA
rnacentral:rRNA from 1 species